GCGCCAAAAAUAGCUGAAGGCUUUGUACUGUGACACGUCAUAUGAGCGGUGAAUACAUUUCAGUUUCCAACGGUAAACGCCUCGUUUCAAACGUAAAAAAAGGCGCAAAAAUAUUUGCGGUUUGUGCUUGAAUGAAAAUAGCUGUAACAUAGAUAUAAAUUUUAACGUUAGUAUACGUUGUGAGUUUUGUGAGAUAUAUCGGAAAU